rnacentral:rRNA from 1 species
CUCUACCAGAGCGGUCAUUUAAUUUUAGUCCAAGCAGUGUUAUCAGCCAUCCCAAUAUUUCACUUAAUGUCCCUUGACCAUCCACCAUGGGUGUUCAAGGCCAUUGACAAAAUCCGCAGAGCAUUCCUUCGGAAAGGUACUAAUGUGGUAAAAGGCGGCCACUGCUUGGUGAGUUUGAAUCAAGUUUGUCAUCCGAAGGAGAGCGGAGGACUAGGCAUUCUGGACCUAAAGAUCAUGAGCUCCGUGCUUCGGUUGCGUUGGGCUUGGAAGGCACGUACAUCAAAUAAUCGUGUGUGGAGCAUCUUGAUAAACCCUUUGGAAAAUCAUGAAAGGCGUCUACUCGAUGCUGCUGCUCGUGUUGAGUUACGUGAUGGGAAUAGAUGUUUCUUUUGGACCGAUAGAUGGAUCAAUGGCGCAGCAGUAGAAGAUAUCACGCCGGAAGUUUUCAGUUCUGUGCCUCCAGUAGCCAGGGAGAGAAGAACAGUAGCAGAAGCAAUGGUCAGUGCAGUCGGGAUUAUAAGGACAUAA